rnacentral:rRNA from 1 species
AGCGAACGUUUGCGGCGGGCUUAACACAUGCAAGUCGAACGGGCUGUUCCUUCGGGGGCAGUCAGUGGCGCACGGGUGCGUAACACGUAGGUAAUCAACCCUCUGGUUGGGGAUAACACUUCGAAAGGAGUGCUAAUACCCGGUAUGGCGCAGCGGUCUUCGGAUCGCGGCGAGAAAGACCCGCAAGGGUUGCCAGAGGACGAGCCUGCGGCCCAUCAGCUAGUUGGCGAGGUAACGGCUCACCAAGGCGAAGACGGGUAGCUGGUCUGAGAGGAUGAUCAGCCACACUGGAACUGAGACACGGUCCAGACUCCUACGGGAGGCAGCAGUGGGGAAUAUUGCGCAAUGGGCGAAAGCCUGACGCAGCCACGCCGCGUGAGCGAUGAAGGCCUCGGUCGUAAAGCUCUGUGGGAGGAGAAGAAUAAAGACCUGUGAAGAGCAGGCCUUGACGGUAGUCUCCUUAGCAAGACACCGGCUAACUCCGUGCCAG